UGGACUGUUGUCGCUCGUCUUCACGGUGUAACGGGUGUUUGGUGGUUAAUUUAGAGCUUUCAGGGAAAAGUAAAGUAGUCGUUCAAUGCAGAAGGUGUUCUCCAACUUACGACGGAUGAAUCGUGUGUCAUAUAAAAUCUUGAAUGCGAGUGUCCACCAGGCCAGGAGUCAGGACCAUUUCGAUCGGAGGUAAGAGCUAUAUAUAAACACUAAACAAGCCACUAGUCAGUAAAUCAUAUCAUGUUUCUUGAGUAUUUUGAGAGAAAAUGAGUUGUUUUAUUUUACACAUAAAUGAAAUAGGUUUGGUAAUCAUAAUUCUCAUUAAUCUGUCAAUAGAUUUUUCUUGCAAUCGAGAAGGACGAUGUUGUUAUCAUCUGAUUAUAGGGGCCUAGAGGAGGUCAGAUUUGUCUGUGUCUGAUGCAGUGAUGGGUACAAACAUGGGUUCGAAACAUCAUGUUGUGACCGCAUCCCUUUUGUUAAGAUAGCAGAAGUACAAGUGAAGCAGUGACUUGAGACAGAUGAAUAGAUGCAGGCUGAAACAUCAAAAGUCUCCAGCACCAAAGACUAACAGUAACAAUGAGUUUGAAGGAUCAGUAUCCCCAGAAAGGAAACUCAUCUUCAUGUAUGAAAUUAAUGUUAUAAAUACUUUGUGACAGUGGGAAGAAGUUAAAUUCAGAACAUGGCAUGGCUCUCUAUAACUACAUCAGAGAUCAUUCCAGGUUAUAAAGCUAAAGAAAACAGUAAAGCAUAACUUCAAUCUACAGACUCUCAGAGGACUGUGACAAGAUGUACCCAUGAUAUCAGACAGGACAACCUUAAAAACUUUCAGUGCACUCAUCACUACGAGUGGAGAAUUGAAAAUUUCAAAUGACUUUUGUAUCAAUCCUUUUGUAUUUCAUCUGGCAACUUGCAGGUGUAAAAUGUUUGAAACAAUUUGGGUGUCCCAAAGGAAAUUCUAUGCCAGUUAACAGUUUCAAAAGCAGUUGAUGCAAGUCACUGGUCCACUGGCAUUGUAUAUGUCAUUGAAUGCAGAUGCCAUUUUAAGAACACUUUUCACAAGAAGCUUGAAAACAUCAGAUAGAAGUGAGCAUCCACAAGAAAAACAAAAGUGAAUACUUUCUUGAAUGUUGAUAAGGAUACAUAUCAUACCUGUAAACAUCUUUUAUGUACAUGUUUAAAUCUUAAUAUACUACCAAAUAUUCAAACUUUCUUUAUGUUGUUCUUGUGUAUAUUGAAAGUGUAUUAAAAUAAGUUUUGAAUAUUUUUCUUGUUAGGCUGAAGGAUAUUUAAUAAAAAUCAAGUUCAAAAAACAAAUUCAUUGGCGUCGGAAGCAAAUUGA